ensembl:lncRNA
GGGUUCUGCUGGGGGAGGGGGACAGGUUGGCGACAGGGAGAUUCUUUUUCAGGUGCCAGGCUUUCUGGGACCCUUGGGCUGUCUUUUCUUUCUGAGCAUCUGAGGACAGAAUCUGGGACACCCUAGGAUCCCUCUUUGGAUCCAGUCCAGAGUCCUUUGCUGGUGAAUUACAAGAGUAAGGGGUAUCGAAGAGAACCUUUUGCUGUUUCGAGACUGCGCAUUCGCACGCCCCUGGUUGCUGUGGCAACCAGGGCAGCCGAGGCUGCCGCGUGGGUCUCUCCUGGCCGCACGCCCUGACCGAUGGACCCAGCUUGGUCUUGCUGAGCCACCACAGGGCAGCCGCCAACAAGUAACUGAUGUUUUGUGAAAGUCACAAAACGGCGCCCCCUUUGGACAAGAGGGUUCCCCUUUAUUGUCCAACGAAGAAAAGCAAUCGGGGAGUCUGCAGAGGAUCGGCCUUGGAGCUUUCUGCCACUACCCUGUCCCCUGCUGUUCCUUCCUGCUCUUCCCUGCGGGUUAGUCUGCAGGGGCUCGAGUAAAGCUUCGCGCCUCCUGCAGUGCGGCUACUCACAUCUGGCCGGCAGCUGGGAGCCGCCCACCACAAACUACUGGGUACACGGCGCCCUCUGUUGGUGCUGAGUGGCGACGCACCAGGGCCUGUGUCGUGCGCCUCUGAGAUCCUGGGGUUUCCGCUCCUGAUCCGUGGGUCUGAGGUUCCUUCCACUCAUUCCGUGUCCUUUGCCUGCGGAAAACCCCCACCCUCUGACUCGCAUAGCUCCAAAAUCGUACUCUGAGGGCCCAUAGUUUUCUGCCGGUCACGAUCGAUCAUGCUGAUCAUCUGUUUUGCACGCACUUGUGCCUAAAACCCAGCCUAGUGACCUAGCCUCUCCGGACCUCACAAGGCCACAAGCUCUGACUUCAGGUUCUGAAGUUAUUCCAUGCCCUACGAUCACUCUGUGUUUAACGUAAAAGUCCUAAAUUAGGAUCAUGGUUACAUAAAUAACCACACGUUUGCUCAAUGGAAUUCCUUGCUG